GUGAGUAACCUGCCCUUAACUCUGGGAUAAGCCUGGGAAACUGGGUCUAAUACCGGAUAGGAGCGCCCACCGCAUGGUGGGUGUUGGAAAGAUUUAUCGGUUUUGGAUGGACUCGCGGCCUAUCAGCUUGUUGGUGAGGUAAUGGCUCACCAAGGCGACGACGGGUAGCCGGCCUGAGAGGGUGACCGGCCACACUGGGACUGAGACACGGCCCAGACUCCUACGGGAGGCAGCAGUGGGGAAUAUUGCACAAUGGGCGAAAGCCUGAUGCAGCGACGCCGCGUGAGGGAUGACGGCCUUCGGGUUGUAAACCUCUUUCAGUAGGGAAGAAGCGAAAGUGACGGUACCUGCAGAAGAAGCACCGGCUAACUACGUGCCAGCAGCCGCGGUAAUACGUAGGGUGCGAGCGUUAUCCGGAAUUAUUGGGCGUAAAGAGCUCGUAGGCGGUUUGUCGCGUCUGUCGUGAAAGUCCGGGGCUUAACCCCGGAUCUGCGGUGGGUACGGGCAGACUAGAGUGCAGUAGGGGAGACUGGAAUUCCUGGUGUAGCGGUGGAAUGCGCAGAUAUCAGGAGGAACACCGAUGGCGAAGGCAGGUCUCUGGGCUGUAACUGACGCUGAGAGCGAAAGCAUGGGGAGCGAACAGGAUUAGAUACCCCUGGUAGUCCAUGCCGUAAACGUUGGGGCACCUAGUGUGGGGACCAUUCCACGGUUUCCCGCGCCCGCAGCUAACGCCAUUAAGUGCCCCCGCCCUGGGGAGUACCGGCCGCAAGGCUAAACACUCAAAGGAAUUUGACCGGGGCC
rnacentral:rRNA from 1 species